rnacentral:rRNA from 1 species
UACAGAGACCUCGAGCGUUAUCCGGAUUUAUUGGGCGUAAAGGGCGCGUAGGAGGCAGUGUGCGUCUUGUGUUAAAUCAUGCCGCUUAACGGUAUGUCUGCACGAGAUACGGCAUUGCUAGAGGGCAUAAGAGGUACAUGGAACGCACGGUGUAGGGGUGAAAUCCGUUGAUAUCGUGCGGAACACCAAAGGCGAAGGCAGUGUACUGGUAUGUUCCUGACUCUGAGGCGCGAAAGCGUGGGGAGCAAAAAGG